CGGCAACAGCUCAAAUUUGAAAUCUGGCCCUCUCAGGGUCCGAGUUGUAAUUUGGAGAGGAUGCUUCGGGUGUGGCCCCGGUCUAAGUUCCUUGGAACAGGACGUCACAGAGGGUGAGAAUCCCGUCUGGAGCCGUGGUAGGGCUUAUGUGAAACUCCUUCGAC
rnacentral:rRNA from 1 species